AGGGCAGCCUGCGCAAGUUGACCGUGGACCCGUGGUGCUCGCCCAAGAACGGAACCACCCGCUGGAGAGGCUCCAGGGAUGGCGCUGACCCGGCUGUUCAUCUCCCACUUCCCCACCGCCGUCCUGGCCGGACUCGCCUCCGCCUCCGCGUCGCCCUUCCUGUCUGACAGCUUAUUCCAGGGCAGCACCGGAUCGACGGGGAGGAGCUUGCUGCAGACCAAGAAUGACUGCCCUAUGAGCUUCGAGACCCAGAACUACACGAUCCUCACAAACAAGUGCAAAAGGCCACAAUACCCUCCUACCGAAUGUUGUGAUGCUUUCAAGGAAUUUGCGUGCCCAUUUGCCGCGUACAUCAACAACCAGAGCACUAACUGUGCAGACACAAUGUUCAGCUACAUCGACUUCCAUGGCUACCCAAAAGGCCUGUUCGCCGACGAGUGCCUAAAAGGAAAGGAAGGGGUUUCUUGCGAAGGCAUCCCAGCGGUAGACACCGGCGUGCCCAGUGGCGGGCGACAAGUUCAAGGGGUUUCGCGUCCUUUGGUUGUGCUCCUGUGUGGACUAGGAGCAUUGUUGUUCCCUUGAGUGGUGUGAUUCCCUGGACUUCUCCAAAGAUGGCGUGUUGUCAGUUGUAAGUAGUAAGGCUUAGGAUUCAUUUGCUUCUCCUUGACACUCUCUUCCAUUGCUAUAAUGUGUCCAUUUGUUACAGAACUACAUGACAUCUUAAGAUUCAACAUUAUAUGGAUGAUCACAUCCUGCUAUUGGGAGAGUGCACAUCCGAAUUGUAAAUCAGGGAAUCAAAUAUCAAUUAACUAUUUUCCAGUCUAGCUG
rnacentral:rRNA from 1 species